rnacentral:lncRNA from 1 species
AUGCCCUCCUUCCCUCCCCCCCUUCCCCGAAAGUCAGUGAGCAGAUUGUGCUGUUUUUAUUCCAAGUUCUUCAUUACGCAGAAGCCUGAGUACCCAACCGGCUGGAAUUCCGACAGGAGGAUCAUCUGUUUAUGUUGGAGCCACGCUGGCUGCCACCCUCAUCACCGCGGCGCCCGAGGAAUUAAAAAUCAGAGUCUCUGAAGAUGUAUGUGCCAGGCUGUACAUGAGAAACUCUGGAUUGCCUUCAUUUUGUCGUUUAAAACAACCCAGCCAUGCCCUGUUGUGUAAAUCGCCAGCCACUGACUGUCAUCAUGUCAAUUUGUCAUUGCUAAUGAGAUAACAUUAGUUUUAUAAUUAUUAAUUUAUCACAAAAGCCAUAUAUCAGGGGUACCUGGAUUGCUCAGUGGUUAGCAUCCACCUUUGGCUCCAGAUCAUGAUCCUGGUGUUCUGGGAUCGAGACCUGCAUCAGAUGCCCCACUGGGAGUCUGUUUCUCCCUCUGCCUAUGUCUCUGCCUCUCUGUCUCUCAUGAAUAAAUAAAUAAAAUAUUUUAAAAACUGUAUAUCAACUCUCCUAUCAGUAAAAACAUAUCAACAAUGGGAAAAUGUUAACAUUAAUGUAAGUUUGUCUUUUAAUAAUAUAUGUGCUUGACCUCUGACCUCUGAGUUUCUUUGAGAAUGUGAUUUGUGGGCAUUUCUCCUCCUAGAGAAGAGAGAAAAUUACAAAUGUCAUUUCUGGCAAGGUACCCUGAAUUCUGUGUUGUGUGUGUGUCUAUAAAUGUAAAAUAUAAAUAGCUACAUGCAUAUGCAUAUAUGUGGUGGAUGUUACAGCCCACAUUUCCAAAUGUGCAAGAAAUAGAACAUUCUUUAAUUUCUCAAGCAAUUUAAUUGCUUUU